rnacentral:snRNA from 9 species
CCUAGGAAGGCCACCUCCAUUGCAUUAGGGAGGGGGGUCUAACUAGCAUCUCCCAGUGAGGAGAGUGCAUGUCAUAAUUUUUCGUAAUGGAGGCUCAUGUUUGCAUGGCGAACGUGUCCUCCAC